AAAAUGCACAUACUGUGAGCUCGAUGAGUAGGGCGGGACACGUGGUAUCCUGUCUGAAUAUGGGGGGACCAUCCUCCAAGGCUAAAUACUCCUGACUGACCGAUAGUGAACCAGUACCGUGAGGGAAAGGCGAAAAGAACCCCGGCGAGGGGAGUGAAAAAGAACCUGAAACCGUGUACGUACAAGCAGUGGGAGCACGCUUCGGCGUGUGACUGCGUACCUUUUGUAUAAUGGGUCAGCGACUUAUAUUCUGUAGCAAGGUUAACCGAAUAGGGGAGCCGAAGGGAAACCGAGUCUUAACUGGGCGUUAAGUUGCAGGGUAUAGACCCGAAACCCGGUGAUCUAGCCAUGGGCAGGUUGAAGGUUGGGUAACACUAACUGGAGGACCGAACCGACUAAUGUUGAAAAAUUAGCGGAUGACUUGUGGCUGGGGGUGAAAGGCCAAUCAAACCGGGAGAUAGCUGGUUCUCCCCGAAAGCUAUUUAGGUAGCGCCUCGUGAAUUCAUCUCCGGGGGUAGAGCACUGUUUCGGCAAGGGGGUCAUCCCGACUUACCAACCCGAUGCAAACUGCGAAUACCGGAGAAUGUUAUCACGGGAGACACACGGCGGGUGCUAACGUCCGUCGUGAAGAGGGAAACAACCCAGACCGCCAGCUAAGGUCCCAAAGUCAUGGUUAAGUGGGAAACGAUGUGGGAAGGCCCAGACAGCCAGGAUGUUGGCUUAGAAGCAGCCAUCAUUUAAAGAAAGCGUAAUAGCUCACUGGUCGAGUCGGCCUGCGCGGAAGAUGUAACGGGGCUAAACCAUGCACCGAAGCUGCGGCAGCGACACUAUGUGUUGUUGGGUAGGGGAGCGUUCUGUAAGCCUGUGAAGGUGUGCUGUGAGGCAUGCUGGAGGUAUCAGAAGUGCGAAUGCUGACAUAAGUAACGAUAAAGCGGGUGAAAAGCCCGCUCGCCGGAAGACCAAGGGUUCCUGUCCAACGUUAAUCGGGGCAGGGUGAGUCGACCCCUAAGGCGAGGCCGAAAGGCGUAGUCGAUGGGAAACAGGUUAAUAUUCCUGUACUUGGUGUUACUGCGAAGGGGGGACGGAGAAGGCUAUGUUGGCCGGGCGACGGUUGUCCCGGUUUAAGCGUGUAGGCUGGUUUUCCAGGCAAAUCCGGAAAAUCAAGGCUGAGGCGUGAUGACGAGGCACUACGGUGCUGAAGCAACAAAUGCCCUGCUUCCAGGAAAAGCCUCUAAGCAUCAGGUAACAUUAAAUCGUACCCCAAACCGACACAGGUGGUCAGGUAGAGAAUACCAAGGCGCUUGAGAGAACUCGGGUGAAGGAACUAGGCAAAAUGGUGCCGUAACUUCGGGAGAAGGCACGCUGAUAUGUAGGUGAAGUCCCUCGCGGAUGGAGCUGAAAUCAGUCGAAGAUACCAGCUGGCUGCAACUGUUUAUUAAAAACACAGCACUGUGCAAACACGAAAGUGGACGUAUACGGUGUGACGCCUGCCCGGUGCCGGAAGGUUAAUUGAUGGGGUUAGCGGUAACGCGAAGCUCUUGAUCGAAGCCCCGGUAAACGGCGGCCGUAACUAUAACGGUCCUAAGGUAGCGAAAUUCCUUGUCGGGUAAGUUCCGACCUGCACGAAUGGCGUAAUGAUGGCCAGGCUGUCUCCACCCGAGACUCAGUGAAAUUGAACUCGCUGUGAAGAUGCAGUGUACCCGCGGCAAGACGGAAAGACCCCGUGAACCUUUACUAUAGCUUGACACUGAACAUUGAGCCUUGAUGUGUAGGAUAGGUGGGAGGCUUUGAAGUGUGGACGCCAGUCUGCAUGGAGCCGACCUUGAAAUACCACCCUUUAAUGUUUGAUGUUCUAACGUUGACCCGUGAUCCGGGUUGCGGACAGUGUCUGGUGGGUAGUUUGACUGGGGCGGUCUCCUCCUAAAGAGUAACGGAGGAGCACGAAGGUUGGCUAAUCCUGGUCGGACAUCAGGAGGUUAGUGCAAUGGCAUAAGCCAGCUUGACUGCGAGCGUGACGGCGCGAGCAGGUGCGAAAGCAGGUCAUAGUGAUCCGGUGGUUCUGAAUGGAAGGGCCAUCGCUCAACGGAUAAAAGGUACUCCGGGGAUAACAGGCUGAUACCGCCCAAGAGUUCAUAUCGACGGCGGUGUUUGGCACCUCGAUGUCGGCUCAUCACAUCCUGGGGCUGAAGUAGGUCCCAAGGGUAUGGCUGUUCGCCAUUUAAAGUGGUACGCGAGCUGGGUUUAGAACGUCGUGAGACAGUUCGGUCCCUAUCUGCCGUGGGCGCUGGAGAACUGAGGGGGGCUGCUCCUAGUACGAGAGGACCGGAGUGGACGCAUCACUGGUGUUCGGGUUGUCAUGCCAAUGGCACUGCCCGGUAGCUAAAUGCGGAAGAGAUAAGUGCUGAAAGCAUCUAAGCACGAAACUUGCC
rnacentral:rRNA from 1 species